rnacentral:lncRNA from 1 species
ACAAUGCAAUGGAGACCACAGGAACCUGGGAGAACUUCCUGGGUAGUAGACCGUGGAUUAAUCUCCGUCAUUUUAAUUAAUAUAUGACACUUAGGUUAUUAUUUAUCCUUCUCUGGUCUCUGAUCACAUGACGGCUAAGCUGUCAUAACAGCUAGAGAAUAGGCAACUAGCUCCUUACCCCAAGGUUAAGUUAACACCAUGUUAGUUCAUUAGUUGAUCCAUCAGCUAGUUAAACCUACCAGCUCUCUUAUUAGAAAUGUGAACAGGUUUGCCUUGCUCACAGGCUUUGUGAUAAAAAAUAAACAGGUUUCAGAUUGAAUAUAUAUGUAUAUAUAUAUGUAUGUAUAUAUAUAUAUGUAUGUGUGUGUGUGUACAUAUAUAUAUAUAUUUUUUUUUUUUGCUAUUCCUUUAUCUAAAGGAGCUCCCUUUGCAGUGACAGCUCCCAAUGAUCGCCUUACCUGUGUCUCGCAAAUAAUUGGAUAGGAAAAGGUGUAAAGCUUAUUAAGGUCUGAGGCUAUGAAAGCUUCUACAAAAGUCUCUGAGGGCCUAAGAAAGUGUUUGAAGGUUUAGGAAGAUGCUUUGAGGUUGAUAAAUGCAAGUUAGGAAGGAUUUAUCUUUUUUAAAGUUAAAAAAAAAUUCUUGUAAGCUUCAUUCAAAUCUGCCUCCCACAGUCAAAUGGACUCCAGAUGAGUCCUGUUUUCCUUCCCCACCUGCAUAUUCCUGAGGGUGGGAUCUAUUCUGCUUGCUCUGGUUCUGAGACCCCACUAGCACCCCUCCAACUACCAAGACCACGGGCCUAAGAGUUUCAGAUGAGCCGGGCAGUGGUGGCACAUGCCUUAAAUCCCAGCACUUGGAAGGCAGAAGCAGGCAGAUUUCUGAGUUCGAGGCCAACCUGGUCUACAAAGUGAGUUCUAGGACAGCCAGGGCUACACAGAGAAACCCUGUCUCAAAUAACCAAAAAAAAAAAAAAAAAAAAAAAAAAAAGAGUUUCAGAUGCACACCCAAGAAAAUGGCUGUCUCCCUAAACUCCUUAGCUUUCUCUUCUGCUCCUGACAUCCAGCUGUUCUCUCAUAACCUGCAUCCAGAACAGCUCCAAAACAGUUACCCACAGGUGCUCUGGCCCAGCCUCACACUGCUUCUGCUGUGCCUGCACUCGCCUACCCUCAGACGGUCCCACAGCCUGGACAGCAGAGAAACAACCAGCUCUUCUCGGACUUGGCCAACAUCCCAGCUUUUGGCCCACACCUCAAAACUGUACCCCAAUGUCAGCAGGAAGUAGCCAUAGACGAUUACAUCGCCCCUUAUUCAUUUAUUAUCAACAAAGGCUAGGAUAUUUGGUUUCAGACCAAGGGACUGAGGUACAUAUUUUACGUAUCAAAACAGACCUGGCUUCCAGACUCUCCCAGCAUCCCUUGGCCCCUACGCAGCAUAAAUCUAAGGCUAAAUUAUAGCUUUACAACAUUAGCAAAAACAUGGCAGUGAUCUUUAAGUUUUUAAUGUUGUAAACCUCUAAAACUUUAAGAAUUUAAAAUCUCUCCAUUUUGUCUUUAGUACUAUUAAAGAGUAAAGAAAAACAUAGAGAGUGCAACAAAUUAUCAAGACAGGACAGAAAUAGUUUGGAGACCUGCUUUCCUGAUAUGCUCAUGUCAUGUGUUGCUGCCCUUAGGCAAGAUGGCAGUCAAACCAUAAUUUCCCAUAAGAGAUGGCUGCCAGCGUAUGACUGCCCUUAACCAAGAUGGCGGUGAAACUCUGACCACACCAUCUUCAUCUCAAAGCCAAGAUGGCCACCAGCCUUGUGCUGCUUACCCACUGUGUAAACUUUCCUGCUGCCAAAAUGGCAGGAGACUUAAAAUGAGCUGCUUAGUCAUUCAGUAACACUGUUGCAAAGAGAGAUGGUUACUAUAUUAAGGGCAGGUUUAUUGGGAAGCAGGCAAGGAAGUUCAGUGGUCUCAAGGAAGGAAGCCAAGGAAAUUGCCAUGCUAAGGGAAAGAGAAGAGAGGAGGAAGGGAAAGAAAGAAAGAGUGUGUGCGCAGGGGGGAGAGGAGAGAGAAAGCACAAAGAGACCAAAUGUCUGGAUUCUAUAGGGAGAGCCCCUGCAGGAAGGGCAGCCCAACCAGCCACUGGGCUGGGAAGUUUAGGGUUUGGGCAGGGUAUGCUAAACAGGGCCUGGAGGAUCCUGGGAGGACCUGGAGGCCAGAUCUGUUGAUAUGUAAAUUUUGUUCUUAGGGCCCCUAAUCCCAAUCUGAAAACAAUUACUUUAAAAAAAAAAAAAUCCAAUUCCCAGCAACCAUGUGGUGGGCUGACAACCAUCUGUAAUGGGAUCCAAGGCCCUUUUCUGGUGUGUCUGAAGAUAACAGUGUACUCACACAGAAUAAAUAAAACUUGUUUU